AUUGAACGCUGGCGGAAUGCUUUACACAUGCAAGUCGAACGGCAGCACGGGUGCUUGCACCUGGUGGCGAGUGGCGAACGGGUGAGUAAUACAUCGGAACGUACCCAGUCGUGGGGGAUAACGUAGCGAAAGUUACGCUAAUACCGCAUACGUCCUGAGGGAGAAAGCGGGGGACCGUAAGGCCUCGCUCGAUUGGAGCGGCCGAUGGCGGAUUAGCUAGUUGGUGGGGUAAAGGCCUACCAAGGCGACGAUCCGUAGCGGGUCUGAGAGGACGGCCCGCCACACUGGAACUGAGACACGGUCCAGACUCCUACGGGAGGCAGCAGUGGGGAAUUUUGGACAAUGGGCGAAAGCCUGACCCAGCCAUUCCGCGUGAGUGAAGAAGGCCUUCGGGUUGUAAAGCUCUUUCGGCAGGGAAGAAACGGCUUGGGAUAAUACCCCGGGCUAAUGACGGUACCUGAAGAAGAAGCACCGGCUAACUACGUGCCAGCAGCCGCCGCAG
rnacentral:rRNA from 1 species